rnacentral:rRNA from 1 species
AGUGAACGCUGGCGGUAGGCCUAACACAUGCAAGUCGAACGGCAGCACAGUAAGAGCUUGCUCUUACGGGUGGCGAGUGGCGGACGGGUGAGGAAUACAUCGGAAUCUACUUUUUCGUGGGGGAUAACGUAGGGAAACUUACGCUAAUACCGCAUACGACCUACGGGUGAAAGCAGGGGAGCUUCGGACCUUGCGCGAUUGAAUGAGCCGAUGUCGGAUUAGCUAGUUGGCGGGGUAAAGGCCCACCAAGGCGACGAUCCGUAGCUGGUCUGAGAGGAUGAUCACCCACCCUGGAACUGAGACACGGUCCAGACUCCUACGGGAGGCAGCAGUGUGGAAUAUUGGACAAUGGGCGCAAGCCUGAUCCAGCCAUACCGCGUGGGUGAAGAAGGCCUUCGGGUUGUAAAGCCCUUUUGUUGGGAAAGAAAAGCAGCAGGUUAAUACCCCGCUGUUCUGACGGUACCCAAAGAAUAAGCACCGGCUAACUUCGUG